rnacentral:ncRNA from 1 species
GAGCUGUUCCUAGUACGAGAGGACCGGAAUGGACGGACCUCUAAUGUGCCAGUUGUCACGCCAGUGGCAGCGCUGGGUAGUUAUGUCCGGAAGGGAUAACCGCUGAAGGCAUCUAAGCGGGAAACCCACCCCAAGAUUAGAUAUCCCUCUGCGCAAGCGGACUAAAGGCCCCUGGUAGACUACCAGGUUGAUAGGCUGGAUGUGUAAGCACAGUAAUGUGUUAAGCUUACCAGUACUAAUAGGCCGUGCGGCUUGACCAU